CCUGUGGGGGAGGGAAACAGGGGGUUACUUGGAGCCUGCUGUGUGGGGAAGGGUCCAGCUUAAAUCUCUUCCUGACACCCAGGGGCUCCCAGGCGUGCCCCCCACUCACUAAUUCAUUCAUGUGGGAGCGCAUAGGCCUGAGUGGCUUGGACUUUGGACCCCUGAAGCUACUGAGAGGGAGUCACUGGCCACUGGGUAGACAGGUGCCAGACUUGUCACAUGGAGGUAGUAAGGCUGGAAUGGGCUGAUGGUAAGCAGUAGGCCUGCUUGGAGGAGGGAUCUCUGCCUGCCCCCUCGCUCUUCAUGAACCUGGGAGGGAGGGCUGUUUGCUGAACCCAGACCCACCAGAAAACGUCCUUCUUGUUGAGGAAGAGCACAAUGGACGUGGUGGCGAAGUAGCGGUGGUUGCAGAUGCUGUUGAACAGCACUGUCUCCGGCUUUCCCUGGAAACACUCGGGCCCUGCUUGGCACCCACCACUUCGUCGUCCUCCACCAGCACCAUGUCGUAGGCGCUCAGCGCCGCGAUGAAGAUGAUGCAGGUCACACCCUCGAAGCAAUGGAUCCACUUCUUGCGCUCUGAGCGCUGCCCGCCCACGUCGAACAUCCUGGGGAGCAGUUGGGGCCUGAACCCGCGCUUGGAACGCCAUGGACGCACCCACAGGCAUCCCUUUGCCUCCUAAUGCUGGCUGGGGGGCACUCGGAUGGGACUGGAGUGUGGGG